rnacentral:ncRNA from 1 species
CAGGUGCCGGAGAAAUCCGGAUAAUAGGGAAACAGGUGAAAGUCCUGUACGAACUCGUCACUGUAAUCGGAUGGUCCGGGCCUUGAUGCCACUAAGAGAUUGGGAAGGCGGCCCCAGGGCAAUGAUCCGUGAGUCAGGAGACCUGCCUGCCGG